AGUGAACGCUGGCGGUAGGCCUAACACAUGCAAGUCGAACGGCAGCACAGUAAGAGCUUGCUCUUACGGGUGGCGAGUGGCGGACGGGUGAGGAAUACAUCGGAAUCUACUUUUUCGUGGGGGAUAACGUAGGGAAACUUACGCUAAUACCGCAUACGACCUACGGGUGAAAGCAGGGGAUCUUCGGACCUUGCGCGAUUGAAUGAGCCGAUGUCGGAUUAGCUAGUUGGCGGGGUAAAGGCCCACCAAGGCGACGAUCCGUAGCUGGUCUGAGAGGAUGAACAGGCACACUUGGACCUGGACACGGUCCCGACUCCUACGGGAGGGAAGAGUGGGGAAAAUUGGACAAAGGGCGGAAAGCUUGUCCAGGCCUACCGGGGGGGGUGAGGAGGCCCUCCGGUUGGUAAGGCCUUUUGUUGGGAAAAAAAAGGAGCCGGUUAAAUACCCGGUUGUCCGACCGUAACCAAAAAAUAAGGCACGGGUAACCUCGUU
rnacentral:rRNA from 1 species